rnacentral:rRNA from 1 species
CACGUAGGGCGCGAGCGUUUGUCCGGAAUUAUUGGGCGUAAAGAGCUCGUAGGCGGCCUGUUGCGUCCGCUGUGAAAGCCCGGAGCUCAACUCCGGGUCUGCAGUCGAUACGGGCAGACUUGAGUGUUGCAGGGGAGACUGGAAUUCCUGGUGUAGCGGUGAAAUGCGCAGAUAUCAGGAGGAACACCGGUGGCGAAGGCGGGUCUCUGGGCCGAUACUGACGCUGAGGAGCGAAAGCGUGGGGGAGCGAACAGG